rnacentral:snoRNA from 1 species
CUGGAGGAUGAUUAGUUGCACCAAAGGGCCUGCGGUGUGGUGCAUUGCAGAGCCUGACCGAGCAACAAUGGUGACAGAACCAUGUGCACAGGGGCCAGCUGACUCCAU